GUCAGGCCGUGCCGCCCACCCCGCCCCGCUCCUCGCCAGGCUGCUCCACCCGCCCCGCCGCUCGUCACGCUUCCUCGUCCGCCCCGCCCCUCGCUAGGCUGCACCGCCCGCCCCGCUUCCGCCCCAUCCCUCUCCAGGCCGCGCCUCCGCCUCCGGCCCGCCCUCGUCUCCGCCCCUGCGGGGGCUGCUCGUUAGGCCCCGCCCUGCACCCCCGUCACCCACGCCGCGCGACCCGCAGCCGCCGCCAGGGCCCUCUGCUGCCGCGGAGGUGCUAGGACAGCCGCGGACGGCCCGCCUCCCCGUGCCCCGGGCCUCGAGGCCAAUAAAAAGCUCGCCCCUCCAGCUCACCGGGUCCGACGGGUACGGUACAAAGUGCUGUCUCUCGCCACAGCCACCUUUGUGACAAUAAAAGCAAUAAGGCUAAUGUCCAUGGGGCGCUCACGUUUAUGCAUGAACAGAGAAAGCUGAGAUACGGAGACUAGUGAUCCGUCGAGGUAAUAAACGGCACAGGUGGGGUUUGAACUCCAUCAGUUUGAUUGCAGAGGCCUGGAACAACCCUACAGCCUUCUCUCAGAUCUUUUCUGGACCUUUUUCUAUGCGCUUUGCACCUAGGACGUGAGGCUGCCAAGCUUGGUAUUCAAUAAAUAUUGAUGGAUGAAGGAACAAUGGAAGAAAGGAGUGCAUGGGUAAACAAAUGACAAAUAUGUCAAAGCACGGAUGCAGAUUCUUAGAAUGGGCUAAUGCUGUUUUCUGCUGGAUUUUUGGAUGUGUACAAACGAGUUCUCUCACAAUACAGAUCCACAGUGUCUGGGUCAGAGGAGAACUGAUGCUCCGCAUGGCAUUUUACCAUCCUGCCUGCCUGCCUGGGGCCCUGGGCCCACAGGCUUUGGGGAGAGUGUAUGGCCAGGCUGCAGCCUUCCUGGGAUAAAGCUCUGCCUUUUAGUCUCUUAUCCUACUUUUUAGAAGCCCUUUAAGGUCUUUGUUAAAGGAAAUCUAAUGUGAAGAAUUCCAGGAGAACUGGAUAAGCCUGACUAUGGGUGGGCGUGACUGAAUUACUUCCCGGGCUGGCUAAGGAAGGCCUCCCCCGAAGUGCAUCGGAAGCCUGCAGCUUCUCCUUAUGGCCACUGGAGGGCACUUGGACCAUGAAAUACCAGAUCGUCUCGGCGUCCCAGGUCUUUGGAAAUGUGUGAUUCAAUUCAGCAAACGUUUCAAAAUCAUCACUAUAAAGAUAGCGCUUUUGUGUUGAACAUCCAAUAUGGCGCUAAACACCUUAUAUAUAUGUGUGCGUGUAUAUAUGAACUUGCUUAAUAUUAACUACAAUUGUUGUGAGUUACUUAGGCUAUUUAGGAAAAAAAAAUCAAGGCUUAAAGAAGUCAAAGUACUUACCCAAGAUUGCUUAGCUAAAUAAAAUUUGGGAGUAAGGACUUGAACUCAAGCCCUUGGGCACCAACCAUAAGCAAUAGGUGCACACAAAGCUGAAAUGAGGACUCUCUUAUAAGCAGGAAGACGCACACACCACACAAAUAUUAUUGUUCCUCAACAAUUUACACAUUCUGAAAUUGGAAGAUGACUUACAAUUUGUACAUUACAUGGUAAUGUUUCUUUUUUCCCUUGAAAUGAUGUUAUUAAAUAAAUGAAGUGUC
rnacentral:lncRNA from 1 species